AUCCUCUCAGGGUCGCACCUGGAGAGUUUCCAGUACUGUACCAGUCUCGACUACACGAGGGAGAGUCAAGCAGAGGCAUAUCCAUUCUAGUCCUAGCUUGGGGGGGUAGCUAGUGAGUGGAAGGCAAUCUGCUACAAGU